ensembl:lncRNA
UGUACCAGUGCGGUAGAGCCUUCAAGACUGUGGCUAACCCCUUUCCAAGUACAAACACCUGUAAAAACAAAAUUAGGCCUGCCAAUAUGUCUAAGAAGAAAUGCUUUCCAGUACAUUUUUCUACUGUCUCCAACUAUUUCUGACCUCCUCAGGAAUAAAAAGACUCAGAAAUGAUCACCUCUCUGCAUAAAAUCCUGAAGUCAAACAUGAAUAAAAUGGAUAAAACUCACCAUUCUGAAUACUAUACAGGACUUCUGAUAUGGGAGUUGUCUAAAUGAAAUGGAGGACUGGAGGGAAGUAUGAAGUGUACAAGGAACCUUCCUACAUUGGCACAGCCCCUUCUUGACCUGGUUGUCUGGUAUUUGUAAAUGUUUUCAAUCAACUCUCUAUGCCCGUAUUACCUCGCUUCAAUUUUGUUCUGAGCAGCCAUACAUCUGUGCACCACAGCAUGCUGAAGACCAAAUAUCUCUAAUUAGGAACAUAACACUUUUAAUAUGUUCCACAUGGGAUCAUCACAAAUAGAGUUUACUGCCACCACAGCUCCUUGAGGGUGAGAUGGCUUCACUGCCUGACCUGUGCUUUCACAAUGUCUAUCAUGAUUUUCACCUUCCUCUUUCUCAUCUGUGCUUCCUAUAAUAUGAUGGAUAUUUCUGUUCAUAAAUGUUCC